UUGUCUUAACAUGGAACCAAGGGUACCCUUUGUCCCUAAACACUCUCUUUUAUAGAGAAGAACAACAUGGACGGUACAGAACAAUGGGGCUGUCUGUCAAUGUAUUUGUUUUGAAGUUCUCCAUUCUACCACUUGGAAUGGCAUGAAAACAACUACUUGGGGUCAGAUCAUGUGAACAGUGAUGCAAGUUUUAGCACAUUUCAACAACAAUUUAGUCUGAAGAGGACAUGAAUAGCCAUUUGUUCAACUUGGACCAGUUCUCUCCUCUUGAGACCCUGGAAACAUAUAUGACCGUGAUCACAGGAAGUAAAGACCACACUGUGCUGCCCAAGCCAAAAACUUAGAAAUUCUACAGACUCUCACCAUGAAGAACUCACGGUUCUCUUCUCUGAGCCCCUAGAGACAUUUCAUCAUAACUCUGUUGAUUAUCCCAUUGCAUUAUGCAUCUAUAUGGUUUGUGUUCCCACGAGAUUGUGAGCUUCUUAAAGCUAGUGAUGAUAUUUGGUUUUCUUUGUUUUCUAACUGCCUGGUCUGAGUAUGGUUCAGGGGAGGUAUUUAAUCACUGAUUCCUGAAUGAAAGAAUAAAUGCAUGAAUGAAUAUUACAUCUCCCCUAACUAUAGUUUAAGUUUCUUAAGAUCAAGAAUGGUAUGCUACACUUCAUUGAAUGUUUUCCUUAAAUAUUUUUUAAUAUUACCAAAAACGGCUCUUACAGAACAUGAGAGAAUGAGGAAAAGAGUCAGGUCCAGAGAUUUUGUUAGGUUGUACUUAGAUUUAGGAAUUAAUUCUCCUUUCUUUGUUUUUUGUUUUUUUUAAUCAAUGCCUAGGUGAAUACAAUGGAAUACUACUUUGUAGAAACCAAGGAUUUCUUUAAUAGAAUAUCUGGAAGAAAAUCAAUUUGGCUUCUGAGUCAAGCUAAGAAUCAAUGGUCAUAAAGUUCUUUGAGACUUCUCUACUUAAGAGGUGAUAUCAGUGUUCCUUACCCUAGAACCUGGGUGGGCUUAUGAUGGUUUCAACCACUAGGGAGUACAGCGGAAGUGGCAUUGUGUAACUUCCACAUCUAGGCCAGAAAAAGUCAUAUAACUUUUGCCUCGUUUACUAGAACACUUGUCAUGGAGUACUCAACUGCCAUCUAGGAAGCCUAAUCAACCAGAAAGAGCUACACUGAAGAUGGACUGGUGAUGGGCUUUUCUGAGCCAGUACAGGAUGGCCUCAGCACAUCAAGCUCCAUCUGCACUGUUAUGGUCCUUAAAAAUAGAUGCUUACUGAGACCUUCAUGAAUUAUUCUGAUUCACAACAUCUUGACCCUUCUCUGAAUUUUUAAAAUUUGUUAUCUGUGCCAUUCAUUUGACAUUUAACCACAUCUUUGUCUUAUACA